ACUAAACAAUAGAGAAGCUGUGAUUCAACAUUUGGGUUGGGUAGUCUCAGUAAUGAGGAUGACUUGUGCUGGUUUUCGUCAUCUCAUUCUGCUGAAGGAGCUGACGAUGCACUGAAGUUGGCUUCUAAUUUUUCAAGUUCUGAGGCAAGUGCAUUGAAUUUGAAUUGCAUAUCAGAACAUCACGAUGCUUCUAUGCUGAACAAUGAGGAUGCUUCGGUCAAUGAUUCUAAUAAGGGAAGUCUAUUAA
rnacentral:misc_RNA from 1 species